UGUGGCCCUGGGGUAGUCUCCUGGGGCAACGGCACCCCGGGACCUGUGCUUUGCGGCAAAAGCCAGGCUCUGUCGUAGCGGCCAGGCGAGGCGAGAAGAGGCCGACGCAUCUCCUCAGGUGACUUCAGAGUGAGCAUCUGGUUUCGCGGGGAAGUUCGGGAAAGAGGCGCCAUCCCCGCAGCUCAGUUUCCCCAGUUGAAGCGUGCCAGAGCGUGAUCCCGUAAGGCUUACUCCUAAAGGCGAGGAAACUGAGUGGCAACAAAUGACUUCCACAAGAAGGCCCAUUGGCCCUCGUCAUGGUGUAUUUGACUUCAGUGAUACGUCCUUAGAGGACUCAAGGAUGGAAGAGAUAAGAAACAUCCAGGCCCGAAGUCUCGGCCAAGUGACACUGGGGCAGAACAGAAUCCUAAAGAGAAACCAAACGAUGGAUGAAAAAUAUCUGAUAUCCAAAGAGGAGGCUAUGGCAGGGAGGGGGCCAAGGUUGGACUUGAGGCCCCCCACUAUCUCCUCCAAGACCAGAGCCAACGAGGCCCUCAGGAAGCUGGCUCAGAUUGAAACCAAGAUCCGGAGUCGGAAGCAGGCACUCACGGCUUUGUCUGACACGGAGUCUGACUCAAAGACCGGCGAGCAGCGACGUCAGAAGGGGACAGAUGCAGCGUCUGAUGUUCCUUCUCAGCAUCCAUACAGAACUUUCCAGAAACAAGCCUGUAAAAGCCCCAUGGCAAAGAGCGAUGGGCAAAGAGAGCAAGGUAGCAGGUUUUUGAAGAGAAGAGAGCCACCCACUGAAGUUAGGUCCCCAGAGCCCGCGGUGGAGAAAGGGAAGAGUGUCCCACCACACAGACAGAAAGAACCUGCUGGAAAAUGUGAUGGUCCCGACAGUGACGAAGAGGAAAUGAAAAUAUUGCUCAGAAGCUUAACGGAGUCUUCUAGAGAGAAAGAAACAAAUAUGAACCAGGUGCUCACUAGCACCAAAGUCAGCAGGAGCGAUCCUGGAAAGUUGACUUCGCAGGACCCACCUCCAGCUCAGCCAGGAGUCUUGUCUCUGCUCUCUGUGGACCCGACCAGCUCAAAGCCUUCUCAUCCCUCACCUUGGCUAGACGCCCCCUGGACUCUCAAUGCUGAGGACACAGCCUCCCUCACAUCCUCACCUUCCAUCACAAAUGACCUUUCAAUGUCAGCAUCUUCAAAGAUGGGGUGCAUCAAGCUGGCUUCCUCCCCCAGCAGGAGUGAGGUGGGGUCUUCAGAGGAGCCAAUCUCAGAAGCUGCUGAUGACAGUCUCCAUGAUUUUAGAAUUAAUAUUUUGUCCAUUGAGGAUCUGGUUCUGGCUGAUGGAGAGAAAAUAGAUGUGGAACAGAAAGGGGAAGAUUCUGGAAGGGAAGGGAUGUCAGGUAGAAGCUCUCCACCCAUGUCACCCGCUUGGCUGGAAGAGCAGAGGGCUACCCAGCACAAGAGCGCUGCAUUUCAGGGUGCGGCCAUUGUGGUUGCUGAGGAAGAGGGCCUUGCCACUGAAGUGUCGGAGCACCUGGGUGACAGUUCUGCCGAAGCUGUCCAGUCCCAAAGUGUGUCCAGCGUGCCGUCUGCGGAGACUCACACUGCACUUGAGGCCAGUCUGGCUUACUCUGAGGAUUUUGAGCAGUACUCUGGCCCCUUGACCUCAGAAGCGUCACUUGAGAGGACACUGGACACUUCAUCGCAGCUGUUGUCCAGUGGGCAGAUAGAUCAUCUUCCCAGACUGUCCCCAAAGAAAAAGUGGGGUCAAGGUGUGGCUGGAGUCAUGAAGGAGACAGCCGUGCAGACUCUUGACCCUGCCUUUGCUGGCCAGUGGAGCAAGGCUGGUGGCAUGGCGGCCAUUGGCCCCACCCUUGGAGGCGCCUACGUGGACCCAGUACCCAUCGCCAGUCACAUUGUCAGCGCGGACGCUAUAGAAGGUAACAGACAGCUGGGACCUCAUUCCUUCCCCACAGUGUCCAGCCAUUCCUGCAGCACAGGGCAGUACUUGCUAAAGGUGACUUUCUGGGGUCCCUGGGGGAGGGGGUUGCAGCAGCUGACAGGGUGGUGUUGAAUAGCCUAAGGGUGGCUAGAACCUCUUUCUGUCUUUGGUGAAGGGACACCUAGGUUUAACCAAACCCAGGAGUCUAGGAGUCAUGGGCUGGUGGUCAGCUAUCAGAAAAACCUUGAGUCUGUUCCAGCCUUGCCAUGCAGUCACUAUUGGGUCAUUUUGCCUAUCUCCAGUUUUAGUUCUUUUUUAAAGUCCCUACUUUGGCAUUCCUAAGCCUGUAAUCAAAUCUACUUAGGCAACGGAGGCAGGAAAAUCACUUGAAUGCAGGAGUUUAUAGUGAAGCCUCUCUCUUCUCCCACCCACCCCCUUCCGAGACAGGGUCUCACUGUGUAGCCCAGGCUGUUCUGGAACUCACUUUGUAGACCAGGCUGGCCUCGAACUUACUGAGAUCCGCCUGCCUCUGCCUCCUGAGUGCUGGAAUUAAAGAUAAGUACCAUUAACACCCAGUGAAACCUCGUCUCUUAAAACAACAACAAAAAGACCAACAUUUUGUCUUUGGGGGUGGACUGGGGGUAGGGUUGGGAGGCUUUCCGUGCAUACAUAGCCCAAGCUGGCUUGGAGCGUCAGAUCCUAACGCCUCAUAUGCCUCUGCUGGAAUGACAGACAUGUGACACCAUGCCCAGCUAAAGAUUUUUCUUGACCUUUAGUGGAGCUCAUGUAUGUUAUGUUGGUUAAUAUAGAACAGAGACUCAGGAAGAACUUCAUGGCUGUGAGGGCAGACUGGCCAGAAAACAGAAGCCCUGACAGCCUACAGCCCUGCAGUGCUGGUGCUGAAUGACAUGCUGAAGCAGCAGCUGAGCCUGACGCAGCAGUUCAUCGAGGCCAGUCGCCA